rnacentral:rRNA from 1 species
GAUGAACGCUGGCGGCGUGCCUAAUACAUGCAAGUCGAGCGAACAGACGAGGAGCUUGCUCCUCUGACGUUAGCGGCGGACGGGUGAGUAACACGUGGAUAACCUACCUAUAAGACUGGGAAACUUCGGGAAACCGGAGCUAAUACCGGAUAAUAUAUUGAACCGCAUGGUUCAAUAGUGAAAGACGGUUUUGCUGUCACUUAUAGAUGGAUCCGCGCCGCAUUAGCUAGUUGGUAAGGUAACGGCUUACCAAGGCAACGAUGCGUAGCCGACCUGAGAGGGUGAUCGGCCACACUGGAACUGAGACACGGUCCAGACUCCUACGGGAGGCAGCAGUAGGGAAUCUUCCGCAAUGGGCGAAAGCCUGACGGAGCGACGCCGCGUGAGUGAUGAAGGUCUUCGGAUCGUAAAACUCUGUUAUUAGGGAAGAACAAAUGUGUAAGUAACUAUGCACGUCUUGACGGUACCUAAUCAGAAAGCCACGGCUAACUACGUG